GUUGCUUUGGCUGCCGGUGUUGCGUCUGUCGGUGCGUCCGUCGCACUCUUGCGCCGGUCUAAGUACUUUGACUAUAAUUUUAAACUAUAAUUAAACCGGGUAAUUUUCAGUACGCGUACACACACGCGUACGUCCUCACCGAGAUGUGCGGAAACCUCCUAGUUGUGAUAUCUAGUACGGCGGUUCAGCUUAUGGCGACAAACUCUUAACACGAUUUCAAUAAUGAUAAUAACAGAGCGGCCGUGCGGUGGAGAUUGUGUGGAAUAUUAAUCCAUUAUUCUGGUUGCACCAAAUGGUUUAUGAGACAAUUCAUUAAGUAUACAUAUGUUUCAAUCUUCAUCGGGCCGGCUUUUGCCCGCAAUUAUGGAAGUUACCAGCCGACGGCAAUAAAACUCGGGUCCGGUAGAUAGAGACGGAACGGUAGAGGAUGGAACAUAAACAGGGACGGACUCUCAAAGGUUUUGCUAAUAAUGUAUUUUUUUUUGUUUAUUUAGUGGAAUCAAAGCAUCCUUUGGAUUCAGUCCCGUGUGUAUCGAACCAUGUUUCAGCAAGGUAAAUUGCGGAUCUGUUGCCUAAUCUACAUCUUUUAAUUUCUUGAAGUUUAUCCAAACCCUAGCGUGCGGGAAGCGUCACUUUAUCACGUCAGUUUCAUUUCUCACGGAUCCGAGCCAUUUCGGACAUUUCCGGGAUUUUACCGUACGGGUUUGAGCGCAAUUUUGACGUUUGUCAAUUCUGACGGUCAUGUCAGUGAAUGUAUUCGUGUUAUUUUGCGAAAAUGUACCCAAACACAUAGAAAAAUGUUUUGCAAUUAAAAUCUAAUGGACUAGUUGGUGCCCGAUGCGUUCCUGUAUGUACAUACCUUAAAUUAUGCAAGUGCCAUGAAACGGGAAGGCAUGAAAAGCUCUUUUGCCUAGAAGAGAAAAGUGGAUCUUGAUAUAUGCAGUGCAGAUUUGAUGAUUUUGAUAUAUCUAGCAGCACAAAAAUUUGCGAAAAACACUGAAAAAUCUAGGAUAAUCAGGGUUGAAACCUACCAAACCAAGGAAGGAAUUUUUGCUGAAUUUCCACUUAAGAGGCCAAAACUGGUAAACAAAGAGCUUCAGAAAUUAGAGUCAUUCUUCAAAA